rnacentral:rRNA from 1 species
UACGGGGGGGGCAAGCGUUGUUCGGAAUUACUGGGCGUAAAGGGCGCGUAGGCGGCAAAUUAAGUCAGCUGUGAAAUCUCCGAGCUUAACUCGGAACUGUCAGCUGAUACUGAUCUGCUAGAGUGCGGAAGGGGCAAUCGGAAUUCUUGGUGUAGCGGUGAAAUGCGUAGAUAUCAAGAGGAACACCUGAGGUGAAGACGGGUUGCUGGGCCGACACUGACGCUGAGUGCGCGAAAGCCAGGGGAGCAAACGGG